rnacentral:rRNA from 1 species
CAAUAGCGUAUAUUAAAGUUGUUGCAGUUAAAAAGCUAGUAGUUGGAUUUGUGGCGUACGGUGUGUUCCGGGCACUUGUUGUCUGAGUAACCUGCUGUUGCCAUCCUUGGGUGGAACCUGUGUGGCAUUAGGUUGUCGUGCAGGGGAUGCCCAUCAUUUACUGUGAAAAAAUUAGAGUGUUCAAAGCAGGCUUAUGCCGUUGAAUAUAUUAGCAUGGAAUAAUGAGAUAGGACUUUUUUGCUAUUUUGUUGGUUUGCGCAAAGAGGUAAUGAUUAAUAGGGACAGUUGGGGGUAUUCGUAUUCCAUUGUCAGAGGUGAAAUUCUUGGAUUUUUGGAAGACGAACUACUGCGAAAGCAUUUACCAAGGAUGUUUUCAUUAA